rnacentral:rRNA from 1 species
AUGCUGAGAGAAGCUUGCCUUAACCAUUUUGAAGGUGACAUUGAUGUCUCUGAAUUUCUUUCUGAUGAUGUGCAAUCAGAUUCAGAUGGCAACAAUGUGGAAUUUCAGGCAGAUGCUUCCUCUGAAGAUGAAUCUGCAAAACAAGAUACAUCAGUGCUAGUGAAACUCAAGCCAGUGAGAAAUCCUGGUCCAACCAAUAUAUCCCGCCAUGAGGUUGAGAAAAAAACAUAUUGUUUUUCUAAAGCAGAUGAAAUAUGUUUCUCUGGUGAUUUUGGCAUUAGUGAUGAAGCGAGUGAGUCUGAAGGAUCCUACAGACUACCAAGUGGUAGGAAGAGAAGGAACAAAAAGUUGAAGGACAGGAUAUGGUUUAAUGAUAAACUUUCAGGACCAGCGGAACAGUUUUGCAAGGGGCUGUGCUUCACCAGUGUCUAUGAGUUCAGAGAUGCACUUAGGGAUUUCCGCGUUAGGACUGUGAGGAAUUUUUAG